rnacentral:rRNA from 1 species
AAGGGACAGCAGCAGCCGCGGUAAUACAGAGGGUGCGAGCGUUAAUCGGAUUUACUGGGCGUAAAGCGUGCGUAGGCGGCUUCUUAAGUCGGAUGUGAAAUCCCUGAGCUUAACUUAGGAAUUGCAUUCGAUACUGGGAAGCUAGAGUAUGGGAGAGGAUGGUAGAAUUCCAGGUGUAGCGGUGAAAUGCGUAGAGAUCUGGAGGAAUACCGAUGGCGAAGGCAGCCAUCUGGCCUAAUACUGACGCUGAGGUACGAAAGCAUGGGGAGCAAACAGGAUUAGAUACCCCUGUAGUCCCUGUCUCUUAUAC